rnacentral:sRNA from 1 species
CAGUGAUGCCCAGCAGAACAUCUCUUCCUUCUUAGUCAGAUGUCCCUUGGGAGUAGUUGUGCAAGGUUAAUUCUUUGCCUGGUAGAAGACUGUGGUGCAUUUUGGAUUAUAUUUUGUCUGUGAGAUCUUAGGUUGGUUCUUCAGAUGUUAGCCUUCUACUGGGGCAAUAUUUCUUUUUCUGUGUUUAUUUGUUGUUAUUGACUUCGAAUAUAAUUGCAUUGUUGUCAAAAGAUGUGGUCUGCGUGAUUGUAGUUCUUUGAUAUUUGUUGAGACUUUCAUUAUGGUCUAGUUUUAGUUAAUUUUUAUAAGCUUCAUAUGCUUGAGGAUAAUGUGUAUUCUGUAAUUUAAAUAUAUAUUAAAUUAGCCUUGAUAACCAUCCUGGUCUUCUGUAGCUUUAUUAAUUAAUUUUUUUGGUCUGCCUGAACUACCAAUACAUAAAAGAAAUGUAUUAAUCUCCCACUACAA